CGUUUAUAAAGCUGCAGCUGUAUUUCUUAUUAAAUAACUUUGCCGGCAUUUUAAUAUGCGAUUAAUUCGGUGUUAAAAGACCCGAACAUCCCUCUGAGCGUUUCCAUGGAAUGCAGGAGCCGUGGUUUCGAUGGAUGCCGGAGGGAAAAGCUCCCUGAAAUGCAUUUUGUGAACACCAGAUGGCACUUGGAUCCCACGGACGGGGCAGGAGCCCAGCCUGGACGUUCCCUGCACCACGGGAGCAUUUCAGGGAAGGAUUUCAUUAGAAAAGCAGGAGAAACCACAAGAAGGGAGAGGGAACCCCAGAGCUGGAGGCAGAACUGCAGGUGGAGUGUCCCUAGAGGGGACAAAAAUCCAUCCCAGGACACAAACCAUAUCUAAGGCCAUAAUGCUACCCAGUUCUAACAUUCCUGCAAGUUUCUGUGGUUUUUUGCCAUUAAUACAAGUUUGUAAGCUGAAUUUCCCUCUUUUUCUUAUCCAUAUUAUCUUGUCUAUUAUUUUCCAUUCUCUUGUCCUGUUCCUGUUGCAGCUCUGAGCAGGUCCACGGGCUGGGGAAGGGCAGAGAAAUCAAGUGUUUGUUCACAGAAAUCCUCCUGGGAAGGGGCAGGUCUCCCAUUCCCCUCUUGUCCUUAAUAUGAAGCUACAGAACUCAUGUGAGCUGGAAACUAAACACGCUUGGAAGGGGGAAAAUGCACUACAGAUGGUUUUUAAAAGGUAAGUUCAAAAUCUCUCUCUUGAAAAAGGAGGCAAAAGCUCUGCCUCGUACUGAGGGAAGGGUGACAUGAAAACCAACUUGAUUUCCCUCAAAAUGCAGGAUAAAAAAAGCCAAACAUUCACCUCUGCCUGCUUUAAAUAAAUCAGGCUUCGAAUAAUAAAGUCAUGAUUUGAUCUCAAACAAAAAUUUAACUCGGAAAUAGAGGAAACAAGAAGGGGAGUGAUUUCCCAUUCCAGUGAGUUAUGACAGGCUCAUCCAUUACAAUCAAAACACAAGCAGGGAUGGGAAAUGGAACUCUAAAAGUGGAAAUGCCAGCCCCAAAAAAUUGCUCCUCGGUGAUCCCAUUGUGCUGUAAAUUUGAUUGGGCUGUAACUUCUCGACAAUUAUGAACAACAAUUAUGCAUUUUUAUUAGUCCCUGUAAAUUAGGGAAGGUUUUACUGUUGAGUUAUGGGAGAGAGGGAAGCCCAAACAUAUGGUUGAGAUCUUCAGAGUUCUCCACAUCAGAGAAAGAAAUGAUCAUCCCUCACUUAAUUCAUACCAUGUUUAACAGUGGAUUAUUUUCCUGCAGAGAUUUACCACACUCUCAGGGACAGCCAGAGGGGUAACCUUUCCUGGACCUUUGGGAAAUAUUUGCUUUAAUCCUCACUAAAAAAACAAACUCUGCUUUAGUUUUCUGUCUUUUCUUCUUUUAAAAUUUAGCUCGAUUACUGAAUAUUGAAAAUCUCCUUGUAAAAUUUAUGAACAUCUCAAGAUGAACCCUUCAGCUUUCCCAGCUUUUUAAUUAUCUCAGCUGCGCCUUUCCAGGAAACUUGAUUUUAUUCCUGAGCAGUUCAUUGUUAGAAACCCAGAAUUUUUCUCUGCAAACCUAUAGUUUUCAGCUCCUUUUGUGUCCCUCUGAUUCCUGCCUGGAAAAAUAAAAUUCCAGGGGACUCUAAUUACCCUGAGAGGCAUUUUCUUGGUGGAGGGAUGAGGAUGGUGAUGACCAGCACAGCCAUUCCUGCAUCCAGCUGGAGGCACUGGGAUGCAAAUGGGAUUUACAGAGGCUGUGCAGUGUCUCCUUCCACUCUCAGGGAAGGUGCCAGAGGUUGGGUAACCUUUCCUGGGCCUUUGGGAAUAAAGGUGCAGCCAGGGUGUGAUGAUUCCUGGGAAUGAGGUGCUUCCUCAGCAGGAUUCUGCCAAAUUCUGGGAUGAGACAAGCACGAGGAGAAGACCUUCCUGGAGGGAACUGCUCAGGCCUCAGGAGCAACCACUGGGACAAAUUAAAUCUCUUAUGGAUUUCAGUCCCCAAAUUUGAAAACUCCUGAGGGAUGGACACGUUGAAAACAUUAAUCCACCUACAGGAAUAUGAUCCUAUAAAUUUCAGCCUCGCAGGACAGGAUCCUCAGACAGCAUCAACUGGGAGGCAAGAGUAGCAAGUUUUCCACCCGAGUAGAGACGUGGGGUGGAUCAACAUCUCCUUGGCUUUGCCUGGUGAGGAUUUUGAGUCUUGUUGGAGGCAUCAGUUCCCCCUUUACAAACUAUGAUGAAAGACUGGGGAUGAAAGCCAUGGUCUAAUUUCAUUCAGGCUGCAAAAUACAUCCAUUUCUGAGGCAAACUCUCCAUCUCUGUGAAGAGCAGAUUGGUUUUCAGCAGCAGCUCGUUCCUGCCAUCAGCAGAAUUGUUGUCAAAACAUUCCAGGAGAUCAUGGUAGAGCUGAAAGGAGAAGAGAACAUACACUAUUAGUAACUGAUCCAUAAACAUCCCCUGCAAAUGACAACUGUACAUUGAAAAUUUUCUUUGGAGAGUGAAAAACAAAUCCAGUCGUGAUGAGGGCUCCAGAAAAGUCAUGACCCUUGUUCACAUUGAGCUGGUGGUGGCAGCAGCAUGAGAGAUGUGCUGUGGGUGAUGGUUCUCCCAGUGACUCACUCCUGGCCUCGAGCAAAGCACUUAAUGUGUCCAGGGCUCACCUCAAAAAAGGGCCAGUGUUGCUUUUCUCAGGGUAAUUCUCCUGAAUUAACGUCUGAGAGAUGCUUCCAGUUCCUAAAAUAAAAGAUGCCUCCAACAAUUCAGCAUUUGCUAGGGAAAAUCAGGAUUCCUACAGCUGAUGCAAAAGGAGUUUGAGAUCUUGCAGUCUCCUUCUGUUCCACGCAGAGAAACCCUGAGUUUCUUAAAAAAGGGAAGAGGGAACUGAUUAUAUUUUUUUGGAUUUAAUGCUGCAAUCAAAGGAGGAUGACAGUGAAUUUGUUAUAUUAGAGACACAUUAUACCUCUGAUUUUCUCUGCAGCACCACCAUUGGGAGCCUGGGAUAAAUGAGGACUUUUUAGUGGCAAAUCUUUGCGUGUUGUGAAGGUUCCUGGUCACAGAGGUGCUGCUUUUCCAGGGAUUUCCUUUCAGUAGGCGCAGCUGACCAAAGUGCCUCUCCAAAUGCAGCCCCUGAGACUUCUCAUCCCCUCUGGAGGUGACUCCAGUGAAGAUCUCCCAGUGUUUCAUGGGAAUUCUGGUGCAGGGAGAGGCAGGGAACUGGCACUGGGGUGGUGGGAGGGGGGGGAUGCUGACAAGUGCCAGGGAGAGGCUUUGCUGUGCAGAGCCAUCAAUCCUCCCGCUCCUGCUUGAUUGCCUUUGGCAGAAUACAAGGUUGGGAAGACUUCAGAUAAAUCAAGGAGCUGGUUGUCUCCUGGCUCUGCUUCCACAGGGAUGUGGAAUGGGUGAAGCUCCUGCCUCUGCUGUCCCCUAAGGUGGCCAAGCAGUGGCUUCCCAAAUCAGUGAGGUGCAGUUUGUACCAGUGCCCAACUAACACCUAGAACCUGCAUUUCCACUUUCUGCUUUUUGAUUGUUUCUGAUUUAUUUUCCUGGGGUUUUGUGUUCGUUUUGAUCCGUGCACCCGCUGGGGAAGGUGAGGAGCAAUCGUGGUACAAACAGCUUUCCAUGAGGGAGUGAGGUUGGUGCAGUUUUGCAAGUUUUAUUGUCUCAACUAGAUUCUGAAAGCACCAGAAGCAGCUCCCCUCUCAGCUUUCCUCCCUAAAAAAAUAAUAGGGAAAAAAACAGGAUCAUUUUUUCUCUGACCAACCUCCAGUAUCUCUUAAAGAACUGAAUUGUUAAAAACUAUUAAAAACAGAGCAAAAGGAGGAAAAUAAACCCCUGGUAUUACUAAGUGAGUGGAAAACAGAUCUAUAGAAUCUACAAUGGUUUGAGUUGGAAGGGACCUUCAAGACCAUCUCAUUCCAUCCCCUGCCACAGGCAGGGACACC